rfam:Salmo salar isolate Sally breed double haploid chromosome ssa24, whole genome shotgun sequence.
UGUAUUCACUACUGUAAGUCGCUCUGGAUAAGAGCUUCUGCUAAAUGACUAAAU